rnacentral:rRNA from 1 species
CACAAGCGGCGGAGCAUGCGGAUUAAUUCGAUGCAACGCGAAGAACCUUACCAAGGCUUGACAUAUAGAGGAAACGUCUGGAAACAGUCGCCCCGCAAGGUCUCUAUACGGGUGGUGCAUGGUUGUCGUCAGCUCGUGUCGUGAGAUGUUGGGUUAAGUCCCGCAACGAGCGCAACCCUCGUUCUAUGUUGCCAGCACGUAAUGGUGGGAACUCAUGGGAUACUGCCGGGGUCAACUCGGAGGAAGGUGGGGAUGACGUCAAAUCAUCAUGCCCCUUAUGUCUUGGGCUUCACGCAUGCUACAAUGGCCGGUACAAAGGGCUGCAAUACCGUAAGGUGGAGCGAAUCCCAAAAAGCCGGUCCCAGUUCGGAUUGAGGUCUGCAACUCGACCUCAUGAAGUCGGAGUCGCUAGUAAUCGCAGAUCAGCAACGCUGCGGUGAAUACGUUCCCGGGUCUU